AAAAUCCGUCGACUUUAAAANUCGUGAGGGUUCAAGUCCCUCUAUCCCCA
rnacentral:tRNA from 2 species